GAUGAACGCUAGCGGCAGGCUUAACACAUGCAAGUCGAGGGGCAGCGUAGAUUGCUUGCAAUCUGACGGCGACCGGCGAACGGGUGCGUAACGCGUAUAGAAUCUGCCUUGUACAGGAGGAUAGCCUUUAGAAAUGAAGAUUAAUACUCCAUAAUGCUGAGAGAUGGCAUCAUUUUUUAGUUAAAGAUUUAUCGGUACAAGAUGACUAUGCGUCCUAUUAGCUAGAUGGUAAGGUAACGGCUUACCAUGGCAACGAUAGGUAGGGGGUCUGAGAGGAUUAUCCCCCACACUGGUACUGAGACACGGACCAGACUCCUACGGGAGGCAGCAGUGAGGAAUAUUGGUCAAUGGGCGCAAGCCUGAACCAGCCAUGCCGCGUGCAGGAUGACUGCCCUAUGGGUUGUAAACUGCUUUUAUACAGGAAGAAACAGUCCCUCGUGAGGGGCCUUGACGGUACUGUAAGAAUAAGCACCGGCUAACUCCG
rnacentral:rRNA from 1 species